rnacentral:pre_miRNA from 1 species
ACUACUGAGCCAUCUCUCUAGCCCCUCUAAAAUAUUUUAAACAAGCAUUGAAAAAUAACAAAAUUGGGCUGGAGAGAUGGCUCAGCAGU